rnacentral:rRNA from 1 species
AAUAUUGGACAAUGGGCGCAAGCCUGAUCCAGCCAUGCCGCGCGAGUGAUGAAGGCCCNAGGGUUNUNAAGCUCUUUCAACGGUGNAGAUAAUGACGGAACCGUAGAAGAAGCCCCGGCUAACUUCGUGCCAGCAGCCGCGUUAAUACGAAGGGGGCUAGCGUUGUUCGGAAUUACUGGGGGUAAAGCGCACGUAGGCGGAUCGAUCAGUUAGGGGGGAAAUCCCAGGGCUCAACCCUGGAACUGCCUCUAAUACUGUCGAUCUCGAGUUCGAGAGAGGUGAGUGGAAUUCCGAGUGUAGAGGUGAAAUUCGUAGAUAUUCGGAGGAACACCAGUGGCGAAGGCGGCUCACUGGCUCGAUACUGACGCUGAGGUGCGAAAGCGUGGGGAGCAAACAG